UACGGGGGGAGCAAGCGUUGUUCGGAUUUACUGGGCGUAAAGGGCGCGUAGGCGGUCAGCACAAGUCAGUUGUGAAAUCUCCGGGCUUAACUCGGAAAGGUCAACUGAUACUGUGCGACUAGAGUGCGGAAGGGGCAACUGGAAUUCUCGGUGUAGCGGUGAAAUGCGUAGAUAUCGAGAGGAACACCUGCGGCGAAGGCGGGUCUCUGGGCCGAUACUGACGCUGAGGAGCGAAAGCGUGGGGAGCGAACAGG
rnacentral:rRNA from 2 species